GUGUUUGUUACGUUGUAUAUGUUUCAGUCCAAUGUUAAUUUAGACACGUUGAGACAAAUAAAAUUGGCAGGCCGAACUAAUUCACCCACAAGUGGGAGUAUUAUCUAGCUCGCAUACCUGCCAAUAAACAGUCAUUCGUUCACAUAAGGUGGAUAUGGAUAAAUUAUCCAUAAGAGGACAAUUUGUUAAUGAUCCUUCCGCAGGUUCACCUACGGAAA
rnacentral:misc_RNA from 1 species